rnacentral:rRNA from 1 species
AUUGAACGCUGGCGGCGUGCCUAAUACAUGCAAGUCGAGCGAAUGACGAGAAGCUUGCUUCUCUGAUUUAGCGGCGGACGGGUGAGUAACACGUGGGCAACCUGCCCUACAGAACGGGAUAACUCAGGGAAACUUGGGCUAAUACCGGAUAAUCCUUCGAAUCACAUGUUUUGAAGUUGAAAGGCGCUUCGCCGUAUCUGUAGCAUGGGCCCGCGGUGAUUUAGCUAGGUGGUGGGGUAACGGCCUACCAAGGCAACGAUGCAUAGCCGACCUGAGAGGGUGAUCGGCCACAUUGGGACUGAGACACGGCCCAAACUCCUACGGGAGGCAGCAGUAGGGAAUCUUGCACAAUGGGCGAAAGUCUGAUGGAGCAACGCCGCGUGAGUGGUGAAGGUUUUCGGAUCGUAAACCUCUGUUGUAAGGGAAGAACAAGUACGUUAGGAAAUGAACGUACCUUGACGGUACCUUAUUAGAAAGCCACGGCUAACUACGUGCCAGCCGCCGCGGUAA